CUUCUCUGGGAGCACCCUACCCGACAUUGCAGAGAGAAAGCAGCCUGAAAUCAGGAGAAGGCCUCAGCAGGAGAGGGGUCCACUGUGCCAGGCCUUCAGUUUGACCCAACCUUCAAAGAGAUGUGGAGGUACUAAGGAAUUGGAGGACAAAAAUGGUGAAGAGUCUGAAGGGGAAGCCAUAUAAGGAAGAGAUGAAGUCACUUGGUCUCUUCAGCUUUGAGAAGAGACUGAAAGGAGACUUCAUUGCAGCCUCCUUGUGAGGGAAGAGGAGGGGCAGACACUGAUCUCUUUUCUGUGGUGACCAGUGAUAGACUCAAAGGAAUGGCCUGAAGCUGCAUCAGGGGAGGUUCAAGUUGGAUAUUAGGAAAAGAUUCUUCACCCAGAGGGUGGUUGGGUGCUGGAACAGGCUCCCCAGGGAAGUGGUCACAGCACCAAGCCAAGAAGCAUUUAGACAAUGCUCUCAAGCACAUGGUGUGAUUCUUGUGGUGGUCCUGUGCAGGACCAGGAGUUAGAUUUGAUGAUCCUUGGGAGUCAAGUUGGACUUGAUGAUCCUUGUUGGUCCCCUCCAACACAGCGUAUUUUAUUAUUCUAUUCUAUGAUUCCAUGAGGGUGAUGGCUGCUGAUCAAGAGACACAUAGCAGCAUCUCAUGGUACAAAAAUGACAUUGUAAAACAGUGCUGUGGUCAUCUGACCUUUCAUUGCUAUUUCCCAUAUGAGAAAAGAUACCUGAAUACAAAGGGAGGGUGUGCAUGUUGUAAACAAACCUGGAAAACAGGUUUUUGUUUUGACAACCCUGGCUCACUUCAGAGGACAAGUGUUGUAGAAGGGCAGCCUGGGAAGUCACAGCUGUUUGCAGAAAUUGGCAGGGAAUGGUGGUUUAGUAGACUCCUGGUUUUGCAAGGUUCAGAAAAUCCCACCUGAGCUUCUCAGAUUCUUCUACUGAGUGGUGAGAACACAGAGAACUCAAAACAUGGCAAAAUGGGCUUGGUACGAUUCAGGUUGAAGAAGAUGGUGCAGGAAUCCAGCACACAAAACCCCUUCAUUGGCCCUGCACAGCUGUCCCUGUCCUAGGGAGCAAAUACAGUGAUCACACAGCUGUAGGAAAUCAGCCUGGAAAAUCCCCAAGUUUUACUAUUCUUAACAUUUAACUAGAUUCUUAAUAAUCAUCAUUUGGCAAUUAUGUAUUUUGAUGGAAGCUGGUUUAUUAAAAUUAUUUUCAGUGGGAAAGUGUGUUACUCAGCAAAUCUUCCUCCAGUUGAAAGUUGCACAAGAGAAGGCAGACAUAGCAAGGAGAUAGUAGUGCAAGAAUGCUGUCCAAAUGACAGCAGCACCUGUCUGGGAAAUGAAAUCUUUUUAAGAGAUAAAAAUCUCUCAGGGGAAGUUCUAUAGGCAAAGAUCAGGACAAGGCUUCUAAUUCUGCCCAAAGAGUGGAAGACUGAAAGUAAUAAUCAGUAACCUGGAAAAAGCCAGUUCAGAUUUGUCAUCUGCCAAAGAAUCACAAGAGCACCAAACUCUUGCAUUUUGAGUGCCUUUAUCCACAUGGAACUCAGAAGCUACCUCCCACUCUUUGCACACAGAACACUAAGGGAUUAAGGCUCAUUUUCCAUAUUAAAUGGGGAUUUUUUUUCAAAGUCAUGAAGUAUUUUAUGUGGUGGAAGCAUUUCCAGCCCAAUUCCAAUGCUAGUAAAAAUUAAAGAAAUCAAAUAAAAUAAGAGAUAAUAUAAUGAAAUAAUAUAAGACAGGACAAGACAAAACACAUCUUUUCUGGGAAAGAAGAGAAAUCCAGUGAUCAAUACUGCAAUCAAAAGCCUCCAGUGUCAUUAGCACACUUAGUUUCAAACUUAUACCAACAAUAAUUCAGUGUCUCCUAAGUUUAAAGUCCACCUGUUCUGUAGUCCAAUGUUUGGAUCCAGGACCCAUGGACAGCACUAAACCCCACAGCAGAAACUCCUCUGUCUUCAGCAGGGUGUGGCACUGCAGAGCUCAUCAAGCUCCUGGCAGAGCAGCUAUGAGGCUGUGCUACCUUGGGAGGCAGCUGCAUGGAGCUCUCUGAGCUGUGGCUCUUCAAACCCAGCCUUGGUUUCACAGGACUCACAUCUGCAGUAGUUUCCUGGGAACCUCACAUAUGAUUUCUAAAACUGCCUGUAUGAAACAUGUUAAACCCAAAGUACCCAAACCUUGUGUUUUAAGAGGUAUUAACAUGUCAUGAUUUCCUCUCAUUAAAACCCCUUCACAAUGUUUUUCCCCAGUUAUGUCUCUCAUAACUUUCUGUGCUUUUUAAAUGUUCGGGUUCUUGUCGUUUCUGCUCUGCUUUAGCUUCUUAAACCAUCUGCUUCUGAAGUGCCUUUUUUCUGAGUAAAUCAACCCAAAAUUUAAAUAAGUAUUAAACAAUAAUUCACUGAAGAAGAUAGUAGUGGCAUUUUGACUCAAAUGUGAGUUUAUUUUCCAUAAUAAAAUAUGUCAAUAUUUAUCCUUACUUAAAGCAUAACUUUCUCAUAUAACGGAGCCAAUAUUAAGGGAACUAUCUAUCUUAGAAAUAUAUAAGAUGCCAUUUUUCAUUGUCUGGAGACUGCAAAGCUAAGAAAUAUUGUAUCUGCAGCUAUAUGAACAUAGCUCUUGAGAUAGCUUUGAUAGGGAGACAUGAGGCUUCUCCAUUAAUCAUUCUUUUACUGCUACUCAGUUUCAGUCAUUAACUUGUAGUGCCCAAAAGGCUUAUAGCACAGAGAAUUUGACUGCCAGUGUAAAAUCACCAAUAACAGCUCAGGCAUUUUAAAAGAUGUGUAGCAGUUGGUAGAUGUUUUUAAAAGCAGGAGCAGAAGGUAAAUAACUUAAAGGUUUUGAAACUUGUGAAACUGGUUAUAAAUUGUCAGUGUGAAUAUUGAUAAAAUUAUUACAGUACCUUUUAAAAAGAUGCUCACAUUCAAAGCCUGGCUGCUUUUCAACAGAAAUGAGAGUAGCAGUGGCCUUGAAUCAAAACCUUACAUCUCUGAGGCUUGAAAUAAUGAAAGAUUAAAAAUGCAGCUCUCAGUCUCCAUCUUUACUCUGUUCUAAACUUUGGAUUAACUUUGCCUGACAAAUUGAAGCUUUACAUUUACAGCUUGGCUAUCCAGGGAAGGAAAGGGUCAAAGCUUUGCAAAAGUUAUUGCUUCAUAGUUCUCAGGACAUUGGGGCAGAUACAUAAUUUUAUACAACUCUCUUUCUGAAUACUGAGUUCACCUUUUUUUUCAAAUGAAAUGAAAUCAUUGAAUUCAAAAACUGUAUUUUUCCACAUAUAUUCAAUCUUAUUAAAUUUUUUGUGCAUAACUAUCAAUGAGUUGGUACUAAUCUAAACACCCAGAUAACUAUUAUCACCUGCAUCAGAGAAAUGUAUCACCUUUUUCAUUUGCUGCCUGGCUAACAUACAGCUGAAAAUGGCAGUGCCAUUAUCAAAGGUGAAAUCCAGCUCUAAGGAGUGGUGGGCAAUAUUUAGGUGAUAUAAAACAAAAAUUAAAUAUGUUGAUAGCACUUUUAUCUUUUAAGACUUUUGCAGGAAAGGAUAGUGGUUGAAAAUUAUUCCUUUGCAUGGGAAUGGUCCUCAUUCUCUGUAAGGAUCAAAAUAGCUUAUAGGGACCACAUAGAUAAACCUGAAUUUCAGAGGCUGUGAACUCUGAAACACAACCUCAAUAAAAGCACAAAUAGCUCCAGAUGUCUUGAAAUAAAUCUAGAUUGUUCUGCUCCUGGCUACCGUUUCAAAUGGGCCAGCUUGGUGGCAAGGCCAACAGUGUAUGGUGAAUUUGAUUUUAAGGUGAAUGUUCUCCCUUUUUAACCUCAGUAUUUUGUCUGGAGACCUUCCUGCUGAUGGCUGUCUAGGGUAGAGAUUACAUUUCAAUCUGGUUAGAAGUGGAGACCUCAAAUGGCUGCCUCAUAGAAUAUGGAGCAAGAAACCUUUCACAGACAGGGAGAUGACAAAAUGCAGCUUAACUUUUACUACACCAGACAUCUGUCUGUUUUUCCAGGGUCCAUCGUAGUUUUAGAGUGCUUAAUGAAGACAUAUUUUCCAAUUACAUUUGAUUAUUUUGGAAUUCCAAAACUUUUUCCAGAACCAGUGUGACUCUGUGGAAAUGGGUACCGGUCCCAUAGUAAAUGGGGACACCAUCUUCCAACAGGUACACCACUGUCAACCACAGCAUUCUAUAACUCUCAGCUUCAUCUUUUAAUGGGGACAAACAUCCCUAUUUGCCCAUUUACCCAGUUUUCCUGAAGAAGCAACUAUUAAGGCUUAUUGCUUAUCUUCCUUGGAGUCUGGACUCCAUGCUCAGCAAAAAUCAUACUUCCAAAACUGCACAAAAGAGUGCAAUUUUUGAAGGUGGAUGAAUUCAGACUAGUCCUAUAGGCGCUCCCAGAGAUAAAAGAAAUGUCUCUGUUACAUUGCUGCAAAAGCAGCACAUAGGGUUCACUUUCCCUCAUUGUGGCAGAAAGCCUCUCAGCCCUCUUCACAGCUACACUGGUGCAUUUAGGAAGAUACAGACAACAACACACAACCAGACACACAUUUGUGAGCAUCCCACAGGUCAGCCUGACUGCCAGAUGUGGCACAUCUGCAGUACCUGGGGGAUCUCUGACCACAGCACAAGCUUUACCUUCUCCCUUGCAGACUCCAGACUGGCUGCACACAGCUCCUAAAGAGCAGAUUUGCUGAGGCUUUUUAAAGAGAAAUCUUUCAGCCCCAUGUGGCAGGGUGUAUGCCAGGUGUCACAUGCAGGAAGGGAAGCUGUGGUGGCUGUUUGGCACUGUCCUUCAGAGCCAGGCAAAGUGGGCCUGAGUGACAUCUCUGCUUCUCCCAGCACCUGAUUGCAACACGGGGAGCAGCACAGCAGAGCAGCACACAUUGGCCAAUGCCACUCAAAUCAGAGUGGCCCUCACAUUUUUGUGGUCUUGAUCUAUUCCUGACAGUGAUGGGACAUGGGGGAUCAGGGGAGAUUGCAGAGAUUUCAUCCCAAGCCCCACAUGUGGAGUGUGGGAAGGUCACACUGUACACACAUGUCCUCUGUAGUUCUGUGGCCAUGCAGGUCUCACUGAAGACAGCAACCUGUCCUCUUCCUUGUUCUGUGGUUCCUUCCACAGAAAUCUAACACUUUCUCUCUUAAUUCUUCAACAGUGUUGCACAUGGACCCCCCUCAAUUAACUAAUCUUACUUCUGAAGCUCCAAAUUUUAACCCCUUUUGCCAUCCUGGCAGAAAGCACAGGCAGUGCCAUAGUAAUCAUGGAUAAAUUAUUAUUAUUCAAAAUACAUUAUUAGCAGCAUAUACAGUAUAUAAGCAGAACAAAAUUCUUAUUUAAACACAUUAAGUUACGCCAGACCAAAGAAUGGUGGGAUCGAUCCAGGGUCACAGGAGGAGGGGGGUGACAUCCCUGGGAGGAAGGCAGAUUUUCACAAGUGGGAAAUGAGAUCCAGGAUAGACAUGCAGUUCUUAUUUUGGCAGCACUGUCUGGACAACCUGAGAGCAGUCAGGACAGCACUGCCUCUGCAGACUGUAUCAUCUUCCCUUCAAUAUAAAACAAAAAGCAGUGACCUCAGGUCCACUUAGACCUUACCUUUGGGUGGAAGAAGAGUCUUCUUACCUGAGAAUAUCAGUCAGAAAUUUUCCUGGGCAGUUGUUUCACUUCAAAAGUUUCCUUCUAAGACAAAAACCAAGUGAGAUCUUUUUAGAGGACAAAGCCAGUAAAAAGAUUAAAUGAGGUGAAGAAAGCAAAGGUUUAAGAAAGGUGUUAAAGCACGAACCCUUCUGACCUGUUUUCUUUCCCCCACACAGUUGGCGAUGUUUUGCUUUAGUUGUUCUGCUGCUAUGAGCAGGAUGCUUCAGCAAAAAUGAAGAGUUGUCAGAUCUGGCUUGGAAAUCAGGCAUAUGGCUAAAAAAGGCAUUGUCAUCAUACUGGAGAACUGUCUCAGAGAAGCAUUACCACAGUGAACAAGCUGUGGAGAGCAUUAGACAAGGGAACUGGUUGGUAUAAAGGAAUACAGGCUUUAAAGAAAAUCAAUCCUCAGCCCUUUUCAUUUUAAAAUGACAUGUAAAUUUAAUUCCAGGAGAGAUGUGGCUGAAUGAGCUGGUCAGAGAAACUUCACCUCUGAAAGCAGGUAAUUUUGGCAUGGGGUAGUGAAGACAGUGUUUCUCUUUCCUCAUCUUUUCAGCUAAAAACAUUAGAAAGGUAAAAGAUAUCAGAUCAGGUUAGUGCCCUGUGUGGAUUCUGCCAUUGGAAAUGGGCCUAAAACCUAACACUGUUGGGGACAAUCUGAGUUCAUAAUACAGAGGUGUUGUCACUCACCCCUUUUAUUGGGUAGAGACCUCUAAGAGUUGAGCUGAACAUUUCUGGUAUUCAUUGUUUCUAUUCCCCUCAACUGCAGAUCACCAGACCCUCUGAUAAAUGAGGCAAACCCUCCCUGGCCAUGGGUUAGCUCUGGGCACACUUCCUUGGUUAGGAGUGAGGAAGUUUCCACGGUGUGUGGAUGGCUCUAUGCAGAGGCUCAGCCCUUUGGUUUGUGGGUGGUGGUGAGGUACCAAGGUGCACAGAUCUUCCAGUGGGGUACCAAGGCUUUAAAUGCAAUGUGACGUGUGGUGACCUCCAUCAUGACUGACUUCUCCUCCCAGCAGUGUCUAAAGAGGUAUCCACAAUAACAGACAGAAACAGUUACACACAGAACUUGGUAAUGCUUGAUGAGCUGCAGGAUAACUCAUAUUUGUUAAGCCUGAGGGAUCUGGUUGUGUCUGAGGCCAGGACAGCAGGGGCCAGCUGUAUGUCCCAGUUUGCUAUCCAGCCAGAUCAUAACUGGGGCAGGAAGGGGAGUCCCCACCUUAAAAAGAGAAAACCCAGCACUAAGUAGGUGGCAUCCUGCCCCAAAACGAGGCAAGGGUUUCCUGAUCCCACCUCUUCAACAGUCAGGGGAACAGGGGCUGUGUUUGCUCACAGGAACAAGACACCCACUGGUGUUGGGCUCUGACAUCUGUGAACGAGGCAGAGAGGAGAGCACUCUGCUCUGAGUGCUCCCAGCCACCCACUCAGGAGAGCUCCCUCACAGCCCUGCGCUGCACCAGCACUGUGCUGGCCCUCUGGCCUCCCACCAUUAAUCCAACUAAAACCUUUGUAAAUAUCUUUUGGCACACAGCUUUGCAGACAAGCAAAUCUGAGCACAUUUGUAAAGUAAUUAACUUCCUUACAAAUUGCUUAGAUUUGCUUCUCUAAUCAUAAAAGCCACACAAUACAAAUAGCACUGGCUUUCUCAUUACAGAAAUGACCCUGUUGCUAUCCACAGUUGCCAUUCUGCUAGGCUAGGAUAUAACAAUUAGAAUUUAGAGUCAUAAUCAUCAUUCUACAUCCACCCCUCUCAAAAGUAAAUUUCUUGGGACAGAUCCCAGGGAGCAGGGGAACUGCUGUAAAACUGAAGCAAUGUCUUUGUGUUCAAAGAGUGAGAGAUCAGAAAUCUCUCUGCUGACUUCACAAACAGUUGACAUUUCUUUAUUAAUAGCUCUCACAGACCAAUAGCUUGUCAUCAGACUUGACUGUCAGUUACUGCAGAAAUCCUGUAAAGGGAAUCUCCAGCUUGAAAGAAUCAAUUAAAAAAUAGCCAGGUAAAGCAAUGGCUUUCCAAAGGCAAAAUACAGUGUGCAUGGCUUGAUUGAACUGAAAUGCAAAUAACUAUCUGGUUAAAAGGAAAUUAUGAAAACUUGAAACUAGAUUUUCAACCAUUCUUCUGAUUGCCUCUCAUAAGGGUUUUUAUUACAACACUUCAUUUAAGAGAAUUAUCUUUCUAGUAAAUGGUUGAAGUAAAGACUCAAAGUUUUGUAUUCAUGUGCCAGUUGCCUAGCAAAAAGCAGAAUUAAUAAAACGUGAUCUCCAUGUGAUUGCUGGUGGGUCAAUUUUUGCCAUGCUUAUUUCAGAGAAAUACAGCUUAUCUGCUUUCACUGAGCCUUGAGUUAUGUUAAGCUAAUAAAACCUUCGGUUCCUCUUCACAUAGACUUAAAAGAAAGGGUCCUGUUUGUGUUGUGCUCCUUGUACCUUUCUUCAGCUUCAAACUCAUGCUCUGUCUGUCAAAAAAAUUAUCUUUGGUAUAAAAACCAGUGCAACAUGUAUGAUUUAAAUUGCAUGACCAUGGCAGAAUAGUAUUCCUAAACUGAAUUUUACACUCUGAGCUGUUCUCAGCACGGGGUCAUUUCCAGUUUGCAACAUAUCAGAAAUACUCUGUUCAAACUGUUGUAUUACUAAUCACACACAUUUUUUCAAAACCUUGCUUCUCUUGACUCUGAGUUUGGGGAAUAAUGCCACGGAGUCCAGGCUUCCUGAAUCCUACAACUGGAGCCAGGCUUCUCUUCUCUCUGCAUUUCCAUCAAGCUGUAUUUAAAUUCCACCUAAGAAACCAAGAUCUGAAAAGCAAUGGUUUCAGGAGAAUUUCAUGGUGACCAGAGGGAUAGAGGAGUGUUAUUGUACAGAUAAAUAGAAAAUUGAAUAGUCAACAUAUUAGUUACCCUAUACUCUGCAGAAUAGUGCCACAGAGUCUUGGCCAGUACAGGCAGAGUUCAAGAUAAUAACUUAACAUUUCACAGAGUGUGAACCAGUUGUAAAAGUAAAAGUUCUACUAAACCUUACUACUGGGUAUAGGAUACCCAUAAAUGUAUAGAUUAAAUCAAUAAAAACCUUUAAAAAUCAAGUAGAACAUUGUCACCAGUUAUUGCAGACCAGAUGUUCAGGCAAACAGGCAUAAAAACAGCAUCACAAAGGUUUUCAGAAUUAUAGCAAGGGUGUAUUGUAUCAAAGCUGUAAUGUGUAAAAUACAGGAAGUGAAGCAGUAAGUGAAAGCUGAGUCACCAUGUAUAUACCAAGAUUAAAGCAAACACCUUCUGCAUUUACUGAUACAGUUCUAGAGCAAAUGUUUCUGGUGAAGAAGCAAUGUUUCAGGUCUCUAUUCAGCCUUGAGUCUAAUCUCUAUCCUACCUCAAAGGCAGAGUGAGAUAAAAAUGUUAGGUAGGAAAUGGAUUUGGUUCAUGUACAGUGUCACCCUAUUUCAUGUGACUUAGUUCUUAUCUGGUAAUGAAUUAUACCAAAGGAUCUGAAGAAAAAUUGGAGGCCAAAGCUCCUCUCACACCUCUGGAGAUGUUCAAAAUGCAGUGUUACCUGGAUUUCAUCUGAACUUUGAAAAAAAAAAUCAUAAAUAAUGAGGAGAAUGGAAUUGCUAUCCCUUACAAUCAUUCCUGCCAGAUUUACCAUUAGUGCACGCACAUACUUAACAAUGAUAAGAUUCCUUUUGAAAUGUACUGAUUGUAGCCUCUGAGAGCUAAAUCUCAGUGCCCAGCACUGUAAUUAACUCAAGAUUUAUUCAUUUAUUAAGACUCCUGAAACAAGCAUGUCUAAUUGCCUUUCUUUAUUAAUACAUUCAAUAAUGUUUAACAUUUUACUGCCACUUAAACAAGAGUUCUAAUAAGAUACUGUAUCAAUUAAUGGUCCUGUUAAAAGUCAACUGGUAUUUUUACAAUAGCAGCAGAACUCCUUGUUACACAUUAAACACCAUGAAGCAAUCAUAAGGUCUGUGGGUUUGUUUGGAAAGGUACAUUGCAAUGAUACACUGCCAAGAUUUUAACAAGCGUCUCCCACAAGACAUUCCUUCCUUAAGAGGAUAGUAAAAGGCUCUUAGUUUUGGACUUGCCCAGAAAAGGAGAAUGAAGGAACAGGAAUUCCACUAGGGUGUUUGUCCUUUAAAAGCAAUACGCUUUUCCAAAGCCCUAAGGAUGUGAAGAAUUACACUGUGCUGCCUUUGGUUGGUUCUUGAAAUGUUUUGGCCUUACAGACUGCAAUUAGUUUUUUGUUUGGGUUUGCUUCAGGGGUAUUUUUGUAGGAGAUCAUCAGUUGGUCCAACCUGACACUGACUAGUACAUGUCCCCACCCCUAUGCUCUCUGCUCAGGGAAUUCCUCACCUCUGGGAGUGUGAUGCAAUCCACAUCUGGGUGAAGGCUGGUGCUGAAGACUUCUGGCAACCCCUUCCUUGCUAGACAGAGCAGGACU